rnacentral:lncRNA from 1 species
GAUCAUGUUCUUCAUCUCAUUGGCAAAGACCCACUCUAGAACUACCUGUGUCAUUACCUGCUACAAGUUUAUUAAAAAUAUGUUGGAUCCUCAUAGUUUCAUUAUAUAUUCUGAGUUAACUUUUAACAUGCGACAAAAUUGCCACCACAAAAAUUCAUUUCCGUGCCUAGACCUAAGUCAACCCCAUCUGGAGGAUGUCAGUCUGCUACAAAAACAUACUUACUAUUGAGGAUUCUACUAUUCAAACAUCAAACAUUAAAUCUAAUAGGAUCUCCUACAAUUCUUGUACGGCAAAUAGCUACAUGGAAGUAUAUGUUACAUAGUAAUACGAAUACAAUUUAAAGCAUAAUAAAUCAAGAAAAAUAAUAAUUCUUCUGUA